CACAGGUUGGCGCCGCAUGGGGUAGCGCCUGGGCAGGCGCCCUCCAGCCCCUGCGCGGACUUAGGACCGGGGUAGUGACCUUGACAACCCCUCCGCUGCCCGGGGGAGGCUCGAGAUGGUCACGGGAAUGGGAUAGCGGCGUGACAGUCUCCAGGCGGCGCGGGGCGGACACCGCACGGGGGAGCGGCCAGUCCGCCCCUCCGGGGCCCGCGAGAGGCUCAGCCGCGCGUGGCUCUGCCCUCUCCCCAGCGCCCCGCCCGCGGCGCAUCUGGGGCCGGGCUCGGGCGAGCCGCCAGCCCUACCUCCUCGGUGGCCGUGGGGCAGUAGGAGAUGAGCACGAGCGUGCGCAUUGGAUACCAACAGGAUUGGGUAUUUUUACACACGAUCUUCCCUGGAAUUGAGGGCAGGAACCCAGGCGUGUCCUCCCCCUGCACCGGAGAACAGGCCGGCUUGCUACGCAUUGGUGGGUCACUGGCCCCUUAUCUCACAAUGCACUCACUUGGACAGGGGACAUCUAUCAUAAACAUGUUCUGUUGCACAACCUGAGACAGGCCCGUCACUUGCUUUGCUCUUCGCUUCAUGGUUCUGAUCUGUACGCACUUUCUAAGGUCUAGGACAAGCCAGAAAUUGCUUCCAAGACACUUGCGUGGCGCAACCUCUGUCAGCAAGUGCAGCAGGGGUCCACAAACUGCUCCCUGUGGGCCAGGCCCAGACCACCACCUGUUUUCCUACAGCCGUCCAGCUAAGUACGGUUUUUACAUUUUUAAAUGAUGGGGAAAAAAUCAAAAGAAUACUAUUUUGUGAUGUGAAAUUAUAUGAAAUUCAAAGUUCAGUGCCUCAAAUAAAGCCAUGUCUAUUCCUU